UUUUGUGACGUAGUGGCAAACUUGUGUGUUCCUAAGCCUGCUUUCGAUUUCAAAUUUCGUGAUUUUUCUAAGUACCUAAUUCGACGAUUUUUCAGGAUAAUAUAGCGUUUUAUAUUGAAGAUGGCAUCCUCUGGUGACAGUGAUGAACCACAAGAUGAUUCGUUUUCAUCUGACGAAGAAACAUUUCAGGUUGGAAGAAUUCAGCAAUUCUGGAAGGGAACGUACAAUAAAAUUUUGCCUGAAGUUGGUAGUCAUCCACUUGGAGGUAACUCAUCGAGCGAAGUGAAGUUUUUCAUUGUUACCACACUGGAAUGUGGAGAAGACCGCAUACAGCGACAAGUGCACAGUAUUAUCCCAACUGGAUGGAUUUCGAGCAACAUGGAAUAUCUACUUUAUCCUCAACCCAGAUUCACAGUUGGGGGUAAAAGUCCGAUUGACUGGGGAGAGAAGACAUUCAGAAGAUUCCAAAUACCAUUCGAGUCGUGGAUGGAAUAUGAUAUUCAUGCCAUUUUAAACCAAACCAAGGUUGUUAAAUUUACGAAAGCAAUAAAGGCCGCCAAAGCUGCAGCUAAUGGUCAACCCAUACUGUCAGACGCUUUUAUUUCAGACAGUGAUCGUAUUUUGGGCAGAGGAUUAAGGAAGGCAGCUCAAAAGCGUCCAUUGGAAGAGAAGGUUUCCGGAAAAGGGAAGGAAUGAAGAACGAAUAAUAAUUCUCUAAUAGAGACACCAUCGUCCAGCUCCAACCUCAAUCCAGCUGUUGCCAUCAGGACUCAAAGCUUAAGAUCUUGUCAGUCGAACACCCCGUUUGAUUUCGAAAAUUUCCCAACGAACUUAAAUGUUGGAGCUUGUGUGGGCAACAUCACCACCAACUCUGAGUUGGUUUCAUUGAACAACUCAUCCAUGCCAGUUUCGAAUGCAGCUGUACCGGCGCCCCAUGGUAGCAGUGGUGACGGCAGCAAUAUUCUUCGUCCGUCCGUUAUUCCUAGUCCACAACCGCAUGAUGUUGGCACAAGAACUGAAGCAGCAUUAUGUGGAGCUAUUAACAAAGCAAGUGGAAUAGUCAACAAUGGAGCACCUUUACCGUCUACAAGCCACGUACAAGAUGAAGAAGAGCAGAAUCGGAAUAAUAUUGAUAUUCAGGGUUCCAACGCUUUGCCGUCCAUUUCACAAACACAAACUCGUGGACAUGGGGCAUAUUUGAAUGGCACUCAAAACAACGACGUUAUAACACGUUCAACGAAUAUUGGUGUUGGCCAUCAUGACAAAGAGUUGGAAAGUCCUCCAUCUUUUCCUACUUGUGAUGAGUUCACGAGGUUGGAUGCUGUUUACACACGUAGCUUGAACAGAAAUAAUGACACUCCAUUGUCAUGGGCAAACGGUGGCGAUCUCCUGCAAUUGAAUGGCUAUCAGUCAUCUCAGGCAUUUUCAUCAUUCGACGUUCAGACAUUGAUGAGAGCCAUUGAGCAAGUAGAAAAGAAGCUCGAUGGGCUUGGAAGUACAGUAAUCGAAAAGUUAGAUUCCGUUUCUAAAAGAAUGGAGGAGUCUUUCAAAAAUGAUUUGCCCUUAAAAGCUACCAAGCACGCCAACUACCAUAGAUGGAUCGUGGAGUCCAACUUCGGAAUUGUUUCUUGCGAUACAGUAGAAAAACUCAUUGCUACCAACACAGCUCUCUCGGACAAAACAAUUGCAAUAAGCAUGGUUUUCUUCAUAUCUGAGCGAUAUAAGGCGUCCAAAUCAAUAGGCGCUUUUGUAAACCAGGCGUAUCGUUUGUUUUUAUGUGACGAAACUAGUCAGAAAAUGCAGUGGCGUAGUGUUGGUCGGGUCAAUGACUUAAGGCCCGGACUCUCUGGUCUGAUGAAUAUGCUUUCAGUUAUAGGAGUUGCUCUCGACAUUUUUAAUCUUUCGCGGAACACUGCAAAUGUUGAUCAUCGGAGGCUAAUUGAAAUGAUUAAAAACUGCCGGAAAUACAAUGCCAAAAACUACAGGAAGAAGAAUAAUGUGCCAGGUGCCUUGGAGACGGAUGCGUCAGCAGAUGCUCCUCAGCUUCCAAAUGCAAAUGAUGACAGUGACGCGGUUAUUCUCUACAACUACAUGACUAUUCUAGAAAAAGAAGUUGUUAAUUUUAGACCUCCGCCUGCUUUUGCUCGAGCACCAGAUCUUUGUAAUUGAAGAUUCAACACCGUUUCAAACCUCUUGAAUUGACGUUUAUUCUUUGCCAAUGUCGUUCUAAAGUCAGAAAAUUGUCAUUUUAUAAUUUAUUGCCUUUCGCAGUUACUCGUACUUUGGUUUUAUUUAAGGUUGUUUCAUAUGCAAAGACAAAACGCAAUAAACGCUGAUGGUUUCUCAAUUC